UGGGCAGUCAACAAGAAAUACAAUUGGACCAGGAAUUGAUGGACCCAUUACAUCACUUGGAUGAACCACAAUAUUCUGGUGAUCUGACUUCACCGAUUUCCCUGAUUGCAGUUCACGAUAUUUUGGCCCAGGUUUCAGACCAAGAGCUUUUGCUUUUUCAGGGUCAAACUUCCCCACAAUAUCAGGCAAUUCACAAAGAUAUAUCACAGAAAUAUCACCAGGCUUUACUGCAGCUCCUUCUGAGCAGCUUGGACGUAGGAGAAUAGCUGAAAUUUUGACAACCUCAUUGUUAAUAAUGUCAAUUGGAUCCGUAAAGUUACUUGCACCAAACUGAGCCUUAGAAUCAGAACCAAAGCUCAUUGUAUGAACCAUGGCAGCAUGAGGAAUGAAAGAUUUCAUUGCAUCAACCAAAUACUGAAGAUCUGAAGGGCCCCAUACGUUGACUGACAUUCCUUCUUCUCCCAUGCCAGCCAAAGUCAACAACAAACCUGUCAGGCAAAGUGAAUAUCCAGAAAUUUACGGUUCUCACACUUAUUUCACAACCAUCCAAAUAUCAGUAAAUAAUUAUGCUCAAAGACAACAAAACAUCGCGAUAUUACAAGAUUUUGUGGUUAUAAGAAAAAAAAUUGUAAGCAUGACAUCCUAUUUAAUCUAUAAAGAUACAAACCUGGAAUGCCACCAGCUGUCUCUGAGCACACACGAGAGAGAAAUAUGUGAUCUAUCUGAAAAAUAUUCAUGAAGACCAUAUUUUUGCUCCAUAUUAGAAAGAGUCAUUAGCAUCUGAAUGGGGAUGCAUGAAUAUGGGUGCGUGCGUGAGUGCGUGCAUGUGUGUGUGUGUCUUUUAAAAAAAUAUUUCAUACCUUCGAUAGCUUAAUCUUAUGUUCUGUGCAGAAGCGCUGCAAUCCCUGCAUGGUGAUUGUAGAUUAAUGAAACAAAACAGAUUUAGGUGUCUGAUUGACCAUAUGGGAUAUAUGGCAGAUUUAAGCACUGAAUUACUGGCAAGAACAUCUUCUAUCACAAAUCCCCACCAUAUCCUCUUUAAACAGUAGAGUUUAGAACAAGGAUGCUUGUCUCUUCAUUUGAUUGCUUAAAGCAUACAUGCAUCACUAUUAUGCAUGUUAUAGAAUUACCUGAAAAGGCUCAUCAAUGGUUUUGAAAUUAUGUUUACACAAUUUUUAGAGGAUGUUUUUCCAAAGAUAAUGGAAGAAAGUGAGAAUUAUUAAAUGUGGAUGGUUUGGAACAUUGAGCAAGAGCAGAUAUACCAAUCAUCUAUGGUUUUUGGUAAACAGUUGUAUCAUGCAAAAAAGUGUCAAGGAAGGACUCCAUAAGACUUCUCAAAUAUGAGCUACAAGUGUAAAACAAGCUGAACAUUUAUGUAACUUCAUCUAGUUUAGACUAAAAUCAAACCUUCAUCACUAGGCAUAAUGUGUGAAUUAGUUCUGUAUAUCAAUUUGACCAAACGGAUAAUCUAUGGGGCUACAAAGACAAUAACAUUGAGAAACUGAGGAAUAUCAGAUAAAGCCAGAUUGAACAUAAAACUUUCAACCAUCUCCUAACUAUAAAGUGUAAAUCACAGAAAGACAAAAGAAUCCAAAGCAUAGAAGCUGUUCCUCUUUAAUAAAUAUGAUUAAGCCACGCAUAAUACAGAUAAAAUAAGUUCAAUUUCUAACCCAACGAGUAAAAGAAGUAUCCCGAAUUACAGAAGGAUGUUUUACAUUACUACCACUGUAUGAUUACCUCACCAGCAUUAAAAAUGAAUCUUUGCUUGUCAAAGAAGAACAAGAUUGAAGGUGAAGUAUCCUGAGUAUCCAUUCCAGUCCCCAGAAUCUGCAAGUAAGAGAUUGUAUUGGUAGGAUUAAGCUUCCGAACUUUCAACUGGAGAUUCCUUUCGGGCUUAUCACUUUUAUCUCUGCCCUCAGCCUUUCUUUUAUUAAACCCAAAAGUUUCAUUACCACUCUCUUCCAUUGGAAGACCUUUGUCCCUUUCUCUACUCUUGCUAUUAGUCUCUCUACUAAAAGUACUAUUACUUCUGCUUCUAAAAUUGAGAGACUGGUGGCUAGGCGUGGUAGGGUGUCGUCUAGAAGAAGAAGAAGAGAAGAUGGUGAAGAGAGAGUAAGGCUUGGGUUUAGAGAAAGAGAAAGGCAGAAAGGGCUUUAGAGGAGAGAAGAGGAGGCGCAGAUUUGAGGUUUGGAGCAUUUGGGCGUUAUGUGAUCCGUUGUUAGUAGGCGAUUUUGCAAGGGCGAUUUUGCAAGGGCUUCAGAUGGGUGGCAGGGGAAGAAAGAGGCAACUACGC
rnacentral:misc_RNA from 1 species